rnacentral:rRNA from 1 species
UACGGAGGGUGCAAGCGUUGCUCGGAAUUACUGGGCGUAAAGCGUGUGUAGGCGGCUUCGUAAGUUGGGUGUGAAAUCCCGAGGCUUAACCUCGGAACUGCGCCCAAAACUGCGGAGCUAGAGUGCUGGAGAGGGUGGUGGAAUUCCCAGUGUAGAGGUGAAAUUCGUAGAUAUUGGGAGGAACACCAGUGGCGAAGGCGGCCACCUGGACAGACACUGACGCUGAGACACGAAAGCGUGGGGAGCAAACAGG